rnacentral:misc_RNA from 1 species
AACUAACGCUAUUAUUGUUACAGUUUCUGUACUUUAUUGGUAUGGGAAGCUUCCAGAACAUCUAGUUCUGGCAAAUUUUGAACGGAAGCCCUCGGG